rnacentral:rRNA from 1 species
AUUGAACGCUGGCGGCAGGCCUAACACAUGCAAGUCGAGCGGAUGAGAGGAGCUUGCUUCUCGAUUCAGCGGCGGACGGGUGAGUAAUGCCUAGGAAUCUGCCUGGUAGUGGGGGACAACGUUUCGAAAGGAACGCUAAUACCGCAUACGUCCUACGGGAGAAAGCAGGGGGCCUUCGGGCCUUGCGCUAUCAGAUGAGCCUGGGUCGGAUUAGCUAGUUGGUGAGGUAAUGGCUCACCAAGGCGACGAUCCGUAACUGGUCUGAGAGGAUGAUCAGUCACAAUGGAACUGAGACACGGUCCAGACUCCUACGGGAGGCAGCAGUGGGGAAUAUUGGACAAUGGGCGAAAGCCUGAUCCAGCCAUGCCGCGUGUGUGAAGAAGGUCUUCGGAUUGUAAAGCACUUUAAGUUGGGAGGAAGGGUUGUAGAUUAAUACUUUGCAAUUUUGACGUUACCGACAGAAUAAGCACCGGCUAACUCUGUGCCAGCCGCCGCGGUAACAC